AUAUAAACAACAGCAAGACCUGUUUUUGCAACACAUCCAGUAUUUCUGCUGCUUGUUUUAAUUACUGCUGAUACUAUUUAUAAAAUAUAGAUUAUGACUUUAGCAGCACUUCUCGUUGGAUUGUUCGCAGUCGUUGGCCUUAGCAAUGCAUUUAUGAUGAAUCCAAUGACACUGGCACUGAUGACUGGUGGUGGAGGUGGCAACAUGCGUAAUCUUGCGUUGAUGUCAGCACUCAGUCAGCCAAAUGCGGGCGGAGCAGGUGGUGCUGGUGGACCUGGGAGUAAUAUAAUGCAAAUGAUGAUGAAAAUGCGUAUGCUUAAAAAGAUGGGAGAAAAUGCGCCGUUAUUUUUGGCCAUGAUGCAAAGUCAACAAGGAGGACAGGGUGGAAUGGGAGGUAUGAUGGACCCAAUGCUCAUUGCUGCUAUGUCCUCCGGUAAUGACAAAAUGAUGUCUAUGUUACCAAUGAUUAUUAUGCAGAGACAACAAAUGAUGCAGCGUCAACAAAUGAUGCCACAACAGUCAAUGAUGCCGAAUGCAGCUGCGUCUACGGAUCCAAGUAUGCAAAACAGCCCCGCCUUUUAAAUAUCACGUGUUUCAUGACUGGACUUUAGAUUUAUUAUAUGUGAAUAUUUUUUGUUUGUUUGUUUUUAUUUUAGUUUUUUUUACAAUGAUUACAUGUUUAAAAAAUAUUGUAUGGACAUUGUGAUAUUUAAUAUGAUGGUUGGAUUUUGCAUGAAUAAAUGAAAAUAAAUAUU